GUUAAAAUAUCGCCUAUAGUAAAGAAAUAAUCAUCUUUUGUAUAUUCGUAUAUUGAAGUACAUUGAUAUAUUGAAGAUGGUCGUAGGUCAUGCGUAGCGGACUCCACCCUUCCAGUGGUAGGCUUAACCAGAAAGACCCACCUCUCGUCAACAUCAACCCCCACUUAUUCUUGACAUAAUUUGAUUCAUGAUGGCUGUAACAACGAUCAAAGCACCAUCUUGCAAUUCACCUCAAAAAUCGUUGAGAAUCUCUAUGGCUCGAUACAGUAGAUCGCGAAGAAAUCUAUUAUCAACAAUGGGAUACUUAUAAAACAGGUUACGCUCCCUUCUUCAUAGAUGGCAGAAUUUUUCGUUUUAUCAAGUUUAUACGUUUACAAAGUAUUUUUAAUUUUUCAUAAAGUGAAAAUUAUUCAAAUUCUUUAGAAUAUUUAAAAAAAAUUCAAUUUUUGAAUGAUUUGUAUAAUUCUUUCGUAAGAAACAUUUAAAAAUCUUCUCUCUAUUUCUUCUUGUCCUAAAUUCAUAUUAAAAUAUUUUUUCACAAAAUAUUUUCCAAUGAUAUCGAGAGUUAAUAAUUAUUAACGCUAUUAUAUGUGCGUAAUGCCAACUUAAUCCGUUUACAAUUACUAUUUUCGGAAUAUCAAUCCCAUCGCGCAAAACACAAGAGGUUUUAUCAUCCUCCACGUGUCAACCACAUUUUUAACAUUGCAUGCGGCGUGUUUCUUUCUCGUCCGAGCGUGUUACGCAAUCUCAUAACAACGAUCGUCGGCCUAAACGCGCGAGCACGUGUCACAUCACGUUUUCAGUCUUUCUGACACCGAGCAGUUUCGCCGGGUGAAGUCUUACCUUCGCGAUCCCAUGGGGCCAGUAUUCUAGAACAUGUAACUGACACUGGUCAGAGAAGAGGCAUGCCUUCUUCCUCAUUGAAACUGACGCUGACUGAAUCCGCAUCCGACGCCCUUUCCUCUGAAUUCCACGGGAACAAACUUAGAAUCGCCCUUACCGCGAUUUAACAACGCUCUAACCUCAAUUUUUUUUUUUCAAACGAAUCGAAUAUAUAAUACUCGUGUAGACAAUGAAUAAUAAUAAAACAAGGAAUUAAAAUUA